AGCAGUAGCCGCGGUAAAACGUAGGUGGCAAGCGUUGUCCGGAAUUAUUGGGCGUAAAGGGCUCGCAGGCGGUUUCUUAAGUCUGAUGUGAAAGCCCCCGGCUCAACCGGGGAGGGUCAUUGGAAACUGGGAAACUUGAGUGCAGAAGAGGAGAGUGGAAUUCCACGUGUAGCGGUGAAAUGCGUAGAGAUGUGGAGGAACACCAGUGGCGAAGGCGACUCUCUGGUCUGUAACUGACGCUGAGGAGCGAAAGCGUGGGGAGCGAACAGGAUUAGAGACCCCUGUAGUCCCUGUCUCUUAUAC
rnacentral:rRNA from 1 species